AAAGCAGGCCAGACAAUCGCUGCUUGCAUCGCAAGGUGCAAGGGGAGGAAAGUCCGGACUCCACAGGGCAGGGUGUUGGCUAACAGCCAUCCACGGUAACGUGCGGAAUAGGGCCACAGAGACGAGUCUUGCCGCCAGGUUCGCCUGGCGGGAAGGGUGAAACGCGGUAACCUCCACCUGGAGCAAUCCCAAAUAGGCAGGCAUCGAGGCGGCCCGCUGAGCCUGCGGGUAGGGAGCUGGAGCCGGCUGGUAACAGCCGGCCUAGAGGAAUGGUUGUCACGCGCCGCCGUGCCGCAAGGUGCGGUGACGUGCACAGAAUCCGGCUUAUCGGCCUGCUUUGCGC
rfam:Ralstonia eutropha JMP134 chromosome 1, complete sequence.